rnacentral:rRNA from 1 species
ANNCGUNCUCGGUNCCAAGUANUCCAUGCGGAGUCGCAGCGGACAGAUGGGAGCUUGCUCCCUGAUGUUAGCGGCGGACGGGUGAGUAACACGUGGGUAACCUGCCUGUAAGACUGGGAUAACUCCGGGAAACCGGGGCUAAUACCGGAUGGUUGUUUGAACCGCAUGGUUCAGACAUAAAAGGUGGCUUCGGCUACCACUUACAGAUGGACCCGCGGCGCAUUAGCUAGUUGGUGAGGUAACGGCUCACCAAGGCGACGAUGCGUAGCCGACCUGAGAGGGUGAUCGGCCACACUGGGACUGAGACACGGCCCAGACUCCUACGGGAGGCAGCAGUAGGGAAUCUUCCGCAAUGGACGAAAGUCUGACGGAGCAACGCCGCGUGAGUGAUGAAGGUUUUCGGAUCGUAAAGCUCUGUUGUUAGGGAAGAACAAGUGCCGUUCAAAUAGGGCGGCACCUUGACGGUACCUAACCAGAAAGCCACGGCUAACUACGUGCCAGCAGCCGCGGUAAUACGUAGGUGGCAAGCGUUGUCCGGAAUUAUUGGGCGUAAAGGGCUCGCAGCGGUUCUUAGUCUGAUGUGAAAGCCCCCGCUCACCGGGAGGUCAUUGGAACUGGGGACUUGAGUGCAGAAGAGAGAGUGGAAUUCCACGUGUACCGUGAAUGCGUAGAGAUGUGAGGAACACCAUG